rnacentral:tmRNA from 1 species
GGGGUCGACUGGUUUUGACAGCACAGGACGGGGGAAGCGUAAGCAUGCCGUGCGUUGUACCAUUAGCACGUAAAUAUGAAGGUUCGAACUUUAUAUGGCAAUACUCAGUAUGCCAUGGCUGCGUAAUCAGUGAUUAUGUAGUCAUUAGGGCCGCCCGAGCAGGUGUUUUCGCUACCAAGCUCCGCCGCCGACUCAACAAAAAACGCGAGAUGCUGCAGUACAAGGCUGUGAUUGCUGCAUAAGACUAUUCAGCUAAGCUUAUAAUUGGUUUGUUCGUUUCCUGUUAUUCGCCGACAAUUAAUAAUCGGAAUAAGCAUGUAGAAAACUUCUUCAAUCGGUGUUUGGACGCGGGUUCGAAUCCCGCCGAUUCCAC